GGUUAUAGCUCAGUUGGUAGAGUGCUUCCCUUUCAUGCACAAUGUCCUGGGUUCAAUCCCCAGCACCA
rnacentral:tRNA from 1 species